GAUUAAUUCUCUGCAAUUAUGAGUUCUCAUUUCUUCUCAAUUGAUAGAUUAAUUGUAUUUGAGACCAACCUUAUAUGCUCUAAAAGUGAGCUUAAGCAAGGCUUGUAUACAUAACAAAUUAAAUGAAGUGAGGACUGUUUAUUUGUAGCCUUAUUGUCUGUAUUUGGACAUAAAAUUUGCUGACAUCUUGUGAAUUGUUGUGUUAGGUACUUUGGUGUUAAAAUGAAAAUUGAAUAUGUUUGUACUAGUUUGAUUAAGAUAUUUGAGUUAAAUUGUGGUAAAUUAGGCAUGAGCUGACAGUUGCAAGCAAUAGCUUGAUGUUGAAACUCUCACAAAUAUGAACGGAUAAUGUAGUUUCAAUCGGAUAAUGUUUCAAUAUGGUCAGCUGGAAUCUUGCAGUUGUACGUUAUCAUUAAUAUAGGUUUCAUCUCAAGGUCUCAGGGUUUUCUUUUGCCUAUGAGCCUUCUAAAUUCACUCAUGCAAAGACAACAGUUAAGAAGAAAGCUUUGAAGUUUUCAGUUACUAUUAUUAUUAGGAUUUGCCCUGAAGUCCUGGUGGUGUUCCCAACAUUUUAGUUGAAUUAACCGUCUGAACUCCUUGAUUUUCAGG
rnacentral:misc_RNA from 1 species